UACGAAGGGGGCUAGCGUUGCUCGGAAUCACUGGGCGUAGAGCGCACGUAGGCGGCUUUCUAAGUCAGGGGUGAAAUCCUGGAGCUCAACUCCAGAACUGCCUUUGAUACUGGGAAGCUCGAGUCCGGAAGAGGUGAGUGGAACUCCGAGUGUAGAGGUGAAAUUCGUAGAUAUUCGGAAGAACACCAGUGGCGAAGGCGGCUCACUGGUCCGGUACUGACGCUGAGGUGCGAAAGCGUGGGGAGCAAACAGG
rnacentral:rRNA from 1 species